rnacentral:rRNA from 1 species
CCUACGGGUGGCAGCAGUGAGGAAUAUUGGUCAAUGGACGAGAGUCUGAACCAGCCAAGUAGCGUGAAGGAUGACUGCCCUAUGGGUUGUAAACUUCUUUUAUAUGGGAAUAAACUGUUCCACGUGUGGGCUUUUGUAUGUACCAUAUGAAUAAGGAUCGGCUAACUCCGUGCCAGCAGCCGCGGUAAUACGUAGGAUCCGAGCGUUAUUCGGAUUUACUGGGUUUAAAGGGAGCGUAGGUGGAUUGUUAAGUCAGGUGUGAAAGUUUGCGGCUCAACCGUAAAAUUGCAGUUCAAACUGGGAGGCUUGAGUACAGUAGGGAGGGGCAGAAUUCGUGGUGUAGCGGUGAAAUGCUUAGAUAUGACGAAGAAUACCGAAUGCGAAGGCAGCUCAUUGGACUGGAACUGACACUGAUGCGCGAAAGUGUGGGUAUCAAACAGGAUUAGAUACCCUUGUAGUC